rnacentral:rRNA from 1 species
GGUUAAGCGACUAAGCGUACACGGUGGAUGCCCUGGCAGUCAGAGGCGAUGAAGGACGUGCUAAUCUGCGAAAAGCGUCGGUAAGGUGAUAUGAACCGUUACAGCCGGCGAUGUCCGAAUGGGGAAACCCAGUGCAAUUCGUUGCACUAUCGUUAACUGAAUACAUAGGUUAACGAGGCGAACCGGGGGAACUGAAACAUCUAAGUACCCCGAGGAAAAGAAAUCAACCGAGAUUCCCCCAGUAGCGGCGAGCGAACGGGGAGCAGCCCAGAGUCUGAAUCAGCUUGUGUGUUAGUGGAACGGUCUGGAAAGUCCGACGGUACAGGGUGAUAGUCCCGUACACCAAAAUGCACAGGUUGUGAACUCGAAGAGUAGGGCGGGACACGUGGUAUCCUGUCUGAAUAUGGGGGGACCAUCCUCCAAGGCUAAAUACUCCUGACUGACCGAUAGUGAACCAGUACCGUGAGGGAAAGGCGAAAAGAACCCCGGCGAGGGGAGUGAAAAAGAACCUGAAACCGUGUACGUACAAGCAGUGGGAGCACCUUCGGGUGUGACUGCGUACCUUUUGUAUAAUGGGUCAGCGACUUAUAUUCUGUAGCAAGGUUAACCGUAUAGGGGAGCCGCAGGGAAACCGAGUCUUAACUGGGCGUUAAGUUGCAGGGUAUAGACCCGAAACCCGGUGAUCUAGCCAUGGGCAGGUUGAAGGUUGGGUAACACUAACUGGAGGACCGAACCGACUAAUGUUGAAAAAUUAGCGGAUGACUUGUGGCUGGGGGUGAAAGGCCAAUCAAACCGGGAGAUAGCUGGUUCUCCCCGAAAGCUAUUUAGGUAGCGCCUCGUGAACUCAUCUUCGGGGGUAGAGCACUGUUUCGGCUAGGGGGUCAUCCCGACUUACCAACCCGAUGCAAACUACGAAUACCGAAGAAUGUUAUCACGGGACACACGGCGGGUGCUAACGUCCGUCGUGAAGAGGGAAACAACCCAGACCGCCAGCUAAGGUCCCAAAGUCAUGGUUAAGUGGGAAACGAUGUGGGAAGGCACAGACAGCCAGGAUGUUGGCUUAGAAGCAGCCAUCAUUUAAAGAAAGCGUAAUAGCUCACUGGUCGAGUCGGCCUGCGCGGAAGAUGUAACGGGGCUAAACCAUGCACCGAAGCUGCGGCAGCGACACUAUGUGUUGUUGGGUAGGGGAGCGUUCUGUAAGCCUGCGAAGGUGUGCUGUGAGGCAUGCUGGAGGUAUCAGAAGUGCGAAUGCUGACAUAAGUAACGAUAAAGCGGGUGAAAAGCCCGCUCGCCGGAAGACCAAGGGUUCCUGUCCAACGUUAAUCGGGGCAGGGUGAGUCGACCCCUAAGGCGAGGCCGAAAGGCGUAGUCGAUGGGAAACAGGUUAAUAUUCCUGUACUUGGUGUUACUGCGAAGGGGGGACGGAGAAGGCUAUGUUAGCCGGGCGACGGUUGUCCCGGUUUAAGCAUGUAGGCUGGUUAUCCAGGCAAAUCCGGAUAAUCAAGGCUGAGGUGUGAUGACGAGGCACUACGGUGCUGAAGUAACAAAUGCCCUGCUUCCAGGAAAAGCCUCUAAGCAUCAGGUAACAUCAAAUCGUACCCCAAACCGACACAGGUGGUCAGGUAGAGAAUACCAAGGCGCUUGAGAGAACUCGGGUGAAGGAACUAGGCAAAAUGGUGCCGUAACUUCGGGAGAAGGCACGCUGGUGUGUAGGUGAAGUCCCUGCGGAUGGAGCUGAGACCAGUCGAAGAUACCAGCUGGCUGCAACUGUUUAUUAAAAACACAGCACUGUGCAAACACGAAAGUGGACGUAUACGGUGUGACGCCUGCCCGGUGCCGGAAGGUUAAUUGAUGGGGUUAUCCGUAAGGAGAAGCUCUUGAUCGAAGCCCCGGUAAACGGCGGCCGUAACUAUAACGGUCCUAAGGUAGCGAAAUUCCUUGUCGGGUAAGUUCCGACCUGCACGAAUGGCGUAAUGAUGGCCAGGCUGUCUCCACCCGAGACUCAGUGAAAUUGAACUCGCUGUGAAGAUGCAGUGUACCCGCGGCAAGACGGAAAGACCCCGUGAACCUUUACUAUAGCUUGACACUGAACAUUGAGCCUUGAUGUGUAGGAUAGGUGGGAGGCUUUGAAGCGUGGACGCCAGUCUGCGUGGAGCCAACCUUGAAAUACCACCCUUUAAUGUUUGAUGUUCUAACGUUGGCCCCUGACCGGGGUUGCGGACAGUGUCUGGUGGGUAGUUUGACUGGGGCGGUCUCCUCCCAAAGCGUAACGGAGGAGCACGAAGGUUAGCUAAUCCUGGUCGGACAUCAGGAGGUUAGUGCAAUGGCAUAAGCUAGCUUGACUGCGAGCGUGACGGCGCGAGCAGGUGCGAAAGCAGGUCAUAGUGAUCCGGUGGUUCUGAAUGGAAGGGCCAUCGCUCAACGGAUAAAAGGUACUCCGGGGAUAACAGGCUGAUACCGCCCAAGAGUUCAUAUCGACGGCGGUGUUUGGCACCUCGAUGUCGGCUCAUCACAUCCUGGGGCUGAAGUAGGUCCCAAGGGUAUGGCUGUUCGCCAUUUAAAGUGGUACGCGAGCUGGGUUUAGAACGUCGUGAGACAGUUCGGUCCCUAUCUGCCGUGGGCGCUGGAGAAUUGAGGGGGGCUGCUCCUAGUACGAGAGGACCGGAGUGGACGCAUCACUGGUGUUCGGGUUGUCAUGCCAAUGGCACUGCCCGGUAGCUAAAUGCGGAAGAGAUAAGUGCUGAAAGCAUCUAAGCACGAAACUUGCCCCGAGAUGAGUUCUCCCUGAGACUAUAAGUCUCCUGAAGGAACGUUGAAGACGACGACGUUGAUAGGCCGGGUGUGUAAGCGCAGCGAUGCGUUGAGCUAACCGGUACUAAUGAACCGUGAGGCUUAACCUU